rnacentral:misc_RNA from 1 species
GUCGGCAAUUUGUUUGUACGACGUGGCGACAUUACAACCGUUGAUGAGUUUGAGAUUUUUGAUUAGUUGUUAACACGGGAACUCUGGCGCGUGGACGAACAACCAAAUUUAAUCGAAACCGUUGAUUGGGGAGCAUGGGGAUAUUAAUCGAAACCGUUGAUUCGACGUGUGAUGUAUAUGGUCAUGACUAGCGCGUGGUUGUUUUG